AUUGAACGCUGGCGGCAUGCCUUACACAUGCAAGUCGAACGGCAGCACGGGAGCAAUCCUGGUGGCGAGUGGCGAACGGGUGAGUAAUAUAUCGGAACGUGCCCGGUCGUGGAGGAUAACGUAGCGAAAGCUACGCUAAUACCGCAUACGAUCUACGGAUGAAAGCGGGGGGAUCGCAAGACCUCGCGCGAUUGGAGCGGCCGAUAUCAGAUUAGGUAGUUGGUGAGGUAAAGGGCUCACCAAGCCGACGAUCUGUAGCUGGUCUGAGAGGACGACCAGCCACACUGGGACUGAGACGCGGCCCAGACUCCUACGGGAGGCAGCAGUGGGGAAUUUUGGACAAUGGGCGCAAGCCUGAUCCAGCAAUGCCGCGUGCAGGAUGAAGGCC
rnacentral:rRNA from 1 species